rnacentral:tRNA from 1 species
GCAUCCUUAGCGCAAUUGGAUUAGCGCAGCACCCUACGAAGGUGUUGGUUGUAGGUUCGAAUCCUACAGGAUGUA